UUACCAUUGAGGUAAAUUUUUUUUGUUUAUUUUCUGGCAAUUUAUAUGAACAUAUACAAUUGAAAUAUUUUUUGUGUUUAUAUUUUUGGCAAUUUACAUUCAUAUUUACCAUUGAAAUAAUAAUUUUUUUUGGCAAUUUAUAUGAAUAUUUACCAUUCAAAUAAUAUUUUCAAUUUAUAUGAAUAUUUACAAUUGAAGUAAUAAUUUUUUGUUUAUUUUCUGGCAAUUUUAUAUGAACAUGUACAAUCGAGAUAAUAUUUUCUGGCCAUUUAUUUGAAUGUUUAUAAAGGAAAUAAUAUAUAUUUUCUCGAGUAGGUUUUGUUAGUUCCAUUUUCCCCCCAUGUGUUUUCGUGAGGUGAUUUUCGGAUACAUAUUUUUCAAAUAGUAAUAAUGAUAUUUAAUUGAUUUAUUUUAUAUAUUUAAGGGCCGUUUCGGCCGUUUCCGACCUUUCUCUCUCUCCAAGAAAAUUACCAUUUAAUUCUAUUUAAUUCCAUGUCUUUUGUGUGAAGGAAGAAAGGAAGGAAUUCCUUCCUGAUUAUUAUUCUGCGCCGACUGCUUCCUUCGUUAGGCUUCGUUUCCUUCCGAUUUCCCAUUAUUUACCUCAGAUUCAGCCUUAUUUCCCGUUAAUUUAGCCUCGUUUACCUCAAUUUCUACUGAUUUCCCUUUCAUUUAUCUUUAUUUCCCUCAGAUUUACACUUUUUUUGCCUCGUUCCUGCAUAUUUCCUUUUUAUUUAACCUCAGAUUUUCUAUUAUUUACCUCAGAUUUCUACUUAUUUCCCUUCACCUUAGCCUUAUUUACCUCAAAUGUAUCCUUACUUACCUCAGAAUUGUCCUUUUUACCUCAGAUUUCCACUCAUUUCUGUCAGAUUUCCCAUUAUUUACCUCAGAUUUAUCCUUAUUUGUCAGAUUUCCCAUUAUUUACCUCAAAUUUACACAUUUCCCUUCAAUUUAGCCUUAUGUUCCUCAGAUUUCUGCUUAUUUAGCUCCGAUUUCUACUCAUUUUCCUUCAAUUUAGCCUUACUUACCUCAGAAUUGUCCUAUUUCCCUCAGAUUUCCACUCAUUUCUGUCAGAUUUCCCAUUAUUUACCUCAGAUUUAUCCUUAUUUCCCUUAGAUUCCCCAUUAUUUACCUCAGAUUUACUUAUUUCCCUUCAAUUUUGCCUUAUUUCCCUCAGAUUUCUACUUAUUUAGCUCUGAUUUCUACCUAUUUCCCUUCAAUUUAGCCUUAUUUACAUUAGAAUUGUCCUUUUUACCUCAAUUUCUUCUUAUUUCCCUUAGAUUUAGCUUUAUUUACCUCAAAUGUAUCCUUAUUUACCUCAGAAUUGUCCUUUUUACCUCAGAUUUCUCCUUAUUUUCCUCAGAUUUCCCCUUUUCUGUCUGAUUUCCCAUUAUUUACCCCAGAUUUAACCUUAUUUCCCUUUAAUUUAUCUAUUUACCACAAUUUCUUCUGAUUUCCCUUUCAUUUAUAAUGAUUUCCCUACAAUUUAGCCUUAUUUACCUCGGAAUUGUCCUUUUAACCUCAGACAUACUUAUUUACCUCAGAUUUGUACUUAUUUACCUCAGAUUUCUACUCAUUUCCCUUUCAUUCAUCAUUAUUUCCCUCAGAUUUAUCCUUAUUUACUUCAUAUUUCUUCUUAUUUAGCUCAGAUUUCGACUUACUUCCCUUCAGUUUAGCCUUAUUUACCUCAGGAUUGUCCUUUUAACCUCAGAUUUGUACUUAUUCACCUCAGAUUUAUACUUAUUUUCCUCAGUAUUCGACUUAUUUCCCUCAGAUUUGUACUUAUUUCCCUCAGAUUUCUACUUAUUUCCCUUUCAUCCAUCAUUAUUUCCCUCAGAUUUAUCCUUAUUUACUUCAUAUUUCUUCUUAUUUAGCUCAGAUUUCGACUUACUUCCAUUCAGUUUAGCCUUAUUUACCUCAGAAUUUUCCUUUUAACCUCAGAUUUGUACUUAUUUACCUCAGAUUUGUACUUAUUUACCUCAGAUUUGUACUUAUUUCCCUCAGAUUUCUACUUAUUUCCCUUUCAUCCAUCAUUAUUUCCCUCAGAUUUAUCCUCAUUUACUUCAUAUUUCUUCUUAUUUAGCUCAGAUUUCGACUUACUUCCCUUCAGUUUAGCCUUAUUUACCUCAGAAUUGUCCUUUUAACCUCAGAUUUGUACUUAUUUACCUCAGUAUUCGACUUAUUUACCUCAGAUUUCUACUUAUUUCCCUCAGAUUUCUACUUAUUUCCCUUUCAUCCAUCAUUAUUUCCCUCAGAUUUAUCCUUAUUUACUUCAUAUUUGCUCUUAUUUAACUCAGAUUUCGACUUACUUCCCUUCAGUUUAGCCUUAUUUACCUCAGGAUUGUCCUUUUAACCUCAGAUUUGUACUUAUUUACCUCAGAUUUGUACUUAUUUACCUCAGAUUUAUACUUAUUUUCCUCAGUAUUCGACUUAUUUCCCUCAGAUUUGUACUUAUUUCCCUUUCUGUCAGCCUUAUUUACCACAGAUUUCUACUUUUUUAAACCUCAUCUAUACUUAUUUGGUUGUUAGAUAGUAUCCGUUUGGUAAUUUGUAGGUCUAUUUCUUAGGGAAAAAAGCCAAUCUUUCUCAUUAGAAAGGUGAACUGCAAUUCCCACAAUAAUGGGCCAGUCACCCCAAACCCUGCCUGUAUACACAGUUGGUUAUGUUGGAUCUGUGUUUGGUCAAGUUUGGUCCAGAUCUCACAUCGACUGGGUUCAGUGCUUUCUUGAUAAGGGCGAACUACAACUCCCAAAAUUAAGGUCUAUUCCCAGAAACCCUUGCUGGUCAUGGGACUUCUCUGUGCCAAGUUUGGUCCAUUGUCGGUGUGGGUCAGUUUCUCUGGGUGCAGGUCAACUAUAACUUCCAUAAAUUAAGAUAAUCCUCCCCCCCAAAAAAAUGUCUGUUCUGUUGGUCAUGGGGACUCUGUGUGCCAUGUUUGGUCCAUGCCGGUCAUUUGUGAGGGUUGUAGUGGUCUCUGGAAGUGAGUGAAGGUACUGCAGAUCCCAUCAUCCAUGGUCCAUCUUCCCACAAACUUCACCAGGAUGUAAAGUGGGUCAUUGGGGGUCUAUGUGCCAGGUUUGGUCCCGUUCCGUCAUUUGUGAGGGUUGUAGUGGUCUCUGGAAGUGAGUGAAGGUACUGCAGAUCCCAUCAUCCAUGGUGCAUCUUCCCCCAAACUUCACCAGGAUGUAAAGUGGGUCACGAGGAGUCUGUGUGCCAAGUUUGGUCCUGGUCCAUCAUUUGUAGAGGUCACAGUGGCCUAUGAAAGUUAAUGAAGGUACUGAAAAUCCCAUCAUCCAUGGUCCAUCUUCCCACAAACCGCACCAGGACAUAGAGUGGGUCUUUGGGGGUCUAUGUGCCAGGUUUGGUCCCGUUCCCUCAUUCGUGGGGGUCGUAGUGGUCUCUGGAAGUGAGUGGAGGUACUGCAGAUCCCAUCAUCCAUGGUCCAUCUUCCCACAAACCGCACCAGGACAUAGAGUGGGGCAUUGGGGGUCUAUGUGCCAGGUUUGGUCCCGUUCCCUCAUUCGUGGGGGUCACAGUGGUCUCUGGAAGUGAGUGAAGGUACUGCAAGUCCCAUCAUCCAGGGUCCGUCUUCCUCCAAACUUCACCAGGACAUAAAGUGGGUCAUGUAGUCUCUGUGUGCCAAGUUUGGUCCAGGUCCGUCAUUCGUGGGGGUCACAGUGGUCUCUGGAAGUGAGUGGAGGUACUGCAAAUCCCAUCAUCCAUGGUCCGUCUUCCUCCAAACUUCACCAGGACAUAAAAUGGGUCAUGUAGUCUCUGUGUGCCAAGUUUGGUCCCGUUCCCUCAUUCGUGGGGGUCACAGUGGUCUCUGGAAGUGAGUGAAGGUACUGCAAAUCCCAUCAUCCAUGGUCCGUCUUCCUCCAAAUUUCACCAGGACAUAAAGUGGGUCAUGUAGUCUCUGUGUGCCAAGUUUGGUCCAGGUCCGUCAUUGGUGGGGGUCACAGUUGUCUCUGGAAGUGAGUGGAGGUACUGUAAAUCCCAUCAUCCAUGGUCCAUCAUUCUCAAACGGAAUUUAAGGGAAAUCAUAAGGAAAUAAAAGGAAAUGAAGGGAAAUAAAACUGCAGGAAAUGAAAAGGAAAAUGAAGGGAGAUAAGAAAGCUGAGGGAAAUGAAGACGAAAUGAAGGGAGAUGAGGAAAUGAGGAGGAAAUGAAGGGAAAUAAGAAAACAGGGAAAUGAGGAGGAAAUGAAGGGAAAUAAGAAAACAGGGAAAUGAGGAGGAAAUGAAGGGAAAUAAGCAUAAACUGGAGGGAAAUGAUGAGGGAAAUUCAGGGAAAUGAGGAAAUGGAAAAUGAGGAAAUGAGGGAAUUUAAGGAAAAUAAUAAGGAAAUGACAAGGAAAUGAAGAGGAAAUUUGAAGAAAUAAUGAGGAAAUGAGAAAUGAGGAUAAAUGUAAGGAAAAUAAUAAGGAAAUGAGAAGGAAAUGAAGAGGAAAUUUGAAGAAAUAAUGAGGAAAUGAGAAAUGAGGAUAAAUGUAAGGGAAAUGAAGAGAAAUAAAAUGGGGGAAAUGAGGAGGAAAUGAGAAAUAAUGAGGAAAUCAAAUGAAAUAGGCAUGAACUGGAGGGAAAUAAUGAGGAAAUGAAGGGAAAUGUGGAAUUCAAGGAAAACAAUAAGGAAAUGAAAGGAAAUGAGGGGGAAUUUAAGGGAAAUAAUAAGGAAAUGAAAUGAAAUAAUGAGUAAAUGCAGGGAAAUGAGGAAAUGGAGGGAAAUGAUGAAAUGAAGGGAAAUAUGGAGGAAUUUAAGGAAAUGAAAGGAAGUAAUGAGGAAAUGCAGGGAAAUAAGGAGGAAAUGAAGGGAAAUAAUGAAAUGAAGGGAAAUAAUGAAAUGAAGGGAAAUAAUGAGGAAAUGGAGGAAAAUGAUGAGGACAUGAAGGGAAAUAAUGAGGAAAUGAAGGGAAAUGAGGGGGAAUUUAAGGGAAAUAAUAAGGAAAUGAAAGGAAAUAAUGAGGAAAUGAAGGGAAAUAAUGAGGAAAUGGAGGAAAAUGAUGAGGAAAUGAAGGGAAAUGUGGAGGAAUUUAAGGAAAUGAAAGGAAAUAAUGAGGAAAUGAAGGGAAAUGAGGAAAUGGAGGGAAAUGAUGAGGAAAUGAGGAAUUUAAGGAAAUGAAAGGAAAUAAUGAGGAAGGGAAAUAAUAAGGAAAUGAAGGGAAAUGAGGGGGAAUUUAAGGGAAAUAAUAAGGAAAUGAAAGGAAAUAAUGAGGAAAUGCA